rnacentral:rRNA from 1 species
UGGGGAAUAUUGCACAAUGGGCGCAAGCCUGACGCAGCCAUGCCGCGUGUAUGAAGAAGGCCUUCGGGUUGUAAAGUACUUUCAGCGGGGAGGAAGGCGAUAAGGUUAAUAACCUUGUCGAUUGACGUUACCCGCAGAAGAAGCACCGGCUAACUCCGUGCCAGCAGCCGCGGUAAUACGGAGGGUGCAAGCGUUAAUCGGAAUUACUGGGCGUAAAGCGCACGCAGGCGGUCUGUCAAGUCGGAUGUGAAAUCCCCGGGCUCAACCUGGGAACUGCAUUCGAAACUGGCAGGCUAGAGUCUUGUAGAGGGGGGUAGAAUUCCAGGUGUAGCGGUGAAAUGCGUAGAGAUCUGGAGGAAUACCGGUGGCGAAGGCGGCCCCCUGGACAAAGACUGACGCUCAGGUGCGAAAGCGUGGGGAGCAAACA